rnacentral:rRNA from 1 species
UACGUAGGGUGCGAGCGUUAAUCGGAAUUACUGGGCGUAAAGCGUGCGCAGGCGGUUUUGUAAGCCCGAUGUGAAAUCCCCGGGCUUAACCUGGGAAUGGCAUUUGGGACUGCAAGGCUGGAGUUUGGCAGAGGAGACUGGAAUUCCUGGUGUAGCAGUGAAAUGCGUAGAUAUCAGGAGGAAUACCGAUGGCGAAGGCAGGUCUCUGGGCUAUAACUGACGCUCAUGCACGAAAGCGUGGGGAGCAAACAGG